rnacentral:sRNA from 1 species
GCCGGGUGCGGUGGUGCACACCUAUAAUCCCAGUGGCUCGGGAGGCUGAGGCAGGAGGAUCUCAAGUUCAAAGCCACAGCAACGUAGCAAGGCUGUGAGCCACUUGGUGAGACCCUGUCUCUA